GACAGAGGCCCCAAGCGUUAGGCGGAAUCACUGGGCUUAAAGCGUGUGUAGGCGGAUCGUUAAGUGUCUUGUGAAAUCCCACGGCUCAACCGUGGAACGGCUGGGCAUACUGGCGAUCUUGGGCCAACUAGGGGCAGUCGGAACAAGCGGUGGAGCGGUGAAAUGCGUAGAUAUCGCUUGGAACGCCGAAGGUGAAAACAGACUGCUGGGGUUGCGCCGACGCUGAGACACGAAAGCCAGGGGAGCAAACGGG
rnacentral:rRNA from 1 species